GUCCUCAGCUUCAGCAGCACAUAUACUAAAAUUGCAAUGAUACAAAGAAGAUUAACAUGACCCCUGUGAAAGGAUGACACACAAAACCUUUUAUUUUUUCAUGGAUUAU